AUUAUUUUCUUGGCAUCUUAAGAAAGACAGUAUUAAGGCCUCCUCUCCCUAAACUGACAUGCGUUUGACGACAAAGUUAAUGGGGACGAUGACGAAGGAUGGUUAUAAAGUAAGCGAUCGUUCAACCGCCUCCUUUCAGUCGUCCUGAUGGUUUGUUUCGUUAGAGUUGCAGUUAUGGCAGCAGUUUCCAUCUCACCUCUCCCAGCUUUCAUGCAGGUUUCCUGCAAGGCCGAUAUGUCCUACACAAGACAGAAACCUUGAAUGCCUUGCCUAUCAAACAGAAUGUGUUUAGAAAUGGAAAAGUGUCAGCAAACACUAACUGCUAUACUAUUUUGACGAGAGCAGGAUUUCCAUGGCUCUCAAUUGCCAAAGAUGCAUCAGGCAAUUAUUAAAACGGAGACGCUUUUAAAGAUAUGCUGGGUAUCGUAUAUUUUGUAUCUCAUUGUAUCGCUAUUCACACGCCAACGACAUUUUCAUAGUAAGUUUUGAAGUUAGCGUAGAC